CGGAGCGGGUGGGAAGGGCGUCGGAGCUGCUUGACGUGGGUUAAACGUUCUGUGCCGGCCGUGGUAUGGCGGAAGGGUCGGGGCAAUGAUUGGACCCCUGCAUUCGACACUGGAGAGGCCACACCCUUGCUCUCCUCCAGCGGCGAGAAUGUUCUGCUUUCCUCCGUGUUGCUUGAAGAUUAACUGUGCGAAUUGUUCAGAGACAACACAGCAGAUGAGGGAAAAAUGACAGGAAAAAAUCUGAGUGGUUGUUAACUGGAACCACAGCAGCUGCUUUGUGAUAACACAGUGCCAGGCACCACAGGAGAGCAGAAAUACUCUGUGGUCCACAAGAGUCAGAAGGUUGGAGCAAGACAGGAAGGAGGUUGGAUCACCAGAGGAUAUGCCACUAAACUGGCCAAGGUUCCUCCUUGUCCCUAGUAAGUGUUGAGUGUUGCACACGCUUCUCAAAUUUCAUUGCAACUGGCUGAAGGAGGAUCUGCUGUGUUUUUAAUGCAUCAACUUUUGAAGGCUUGAGAGCAUUUAAGGAGAAGGUGGAGUAUGAAUCACUGUCAUUAAAAAGAGAAAAAGAGACAGAGGUGGUCAGCAAAGAGGGUGUCUUAGAUUGGAAAUGGGUGUGUUUAUUGUUAAUUGGGCAGUUUUCUUUAUCUCUUCCACAACCAAUCCUGUUUCUGGGAAAUAUUUUCUGUUAAUGUGCCAUUGAGUGUCACUGCAUGACUGAUAAAAUUACAUAAUCUCACAUUGUGAGAUGCUCUGCCCAGGGGGAGGAGCCAAGCAUUCCUACCUGGAUAUAAUCAGAGAUUUGGAAGACCACAGCCAGCCUUUUCCCCUGGAUUUCCAGAAGAAGACCAGGCCCAUCUACACCACCACUGGAUCUUCAGAGGAAGACUACACCCUUCUACAGGAUCACUGCUUCAACAGAACCACAUCUGCCACUCCGGGAGGACAGCACCCACCAUUUCAGUUGGAUUGGUACCAACUCCCUGACCAACAGGGUGUCAGGGUGUAUUCUGACUGUCAGUGUUUUUUUGUAUUACAGCAUUGUUUAUUUUAUUUUUUUUUAAAUUUCUUCCCUAGUAAAGAAUUGUUAUUCCUGCUCACA